rnacentral:rRNA from 1 species
UACGUAGGGGGCUGGCGUUGUCCGGAAUCAUUGGGCGUAAAGCGCGUGUAGGCGGUCCGGUAAGUCCGCUGUGAAGGUCGGGGGCUCAACCCUCGGAUGCCGGUGGAUACUGUCGGGCUUGAGUACGGAAGAGGCGAGUGGAAUUCCUGGUGUAGCGGUGAAAUGCGCAGAUAUCAGGAGGAACACCAAUUGCGAAGGCAGCUCGCUGGGACGUUACUGACGCUGAGACGCGAAAGCGUGGGGAGCAAACAGG